CCUUUUUUAAAGGACCGUAAAACCAUUUCUCUUUCUUCUAUCACACUCUCUGAUUGACUCACUGUGCGCGAUUCAGUUCAUUUCUCGACCAGAUCAGAUUCACAGCUUCCUCUUCCAGCUAUGGCUGCUUCAGUACACAGUACCUUGAUGUCAGUCGUAUGCAACAACAAAUCUCACUCUGCUUGGCCUAAACUUCCAAACUCGUCUUUGUUACCUGGAUUCGAUCUUGUUGUUCAAGCUGCUGUUGCUACUCGAUUCAAGAAGGAAACAACAACCACACGAGCCACUUUGACCUUUGAUCCACCAACCACUAAUUCUGAGAGAGCUAAGCAGAGAAAACACACCAUUGAUCCUUCUUCUCCUGAUUUUCAACCAAUCCCUUCUUUUGAAGAAUGUUUUCCUAAGAGCACUAAAGAACACAAGGAAGUUGUUCAUGAAGAAUCUGGUCAUGUUCUUAAAGUUCCUUUUCGUCGUGUUCAUUUGUCUGGUGGUGAGCCAGCUUUUGAUAAUUAUGACACUAGUGGUCCUCAGAAUGUUAAUGCACACAUUGGGCUUGCUAAGCUAAGAAAGGAGUGGAUUGAUCGCCGAGAGAAGCUAGGAACUCCAAGAUACACUCAAAUGUACUACGCUAAGCAAGGGAUCAUAACUGAGGAAAUGCUCUACUGUGCUACUAGGGAGAAGCUAGACCCUGAGUUUGUAAGAUCAGAAGUUGCACGAGGGCGGGCGAUUAUCCCUUCUAACAAGAAGCAUUUGGAGCUGGAACCCAUGAUUGUUGGUAGAAAGUUCUUGGUUAAGGUCAAUGCGAAUAUCGGAAACUCUGCUGUUGCAAGCUCUAUUGAAGAGGAAGUCUACAAGGUUCAGUGGGCAACCAUGUGGGGAGCUGAUACAAUCAUGGAUCUCUCAACAGGUCGUCACAUCCACGAGACACGUGAGUGGAUCCUAAGGAAUUCAGCUGUGCCUGUUGGUACGGUGCCUAUUUAUCAAGCACUUGAGAAAGUGGAUGGAAUUGCUGAGAAUCUUAGCUGGGAAGUCUUCAGGGAGACUCUGAUUGAACAAGCUGAUCAAGGUGUAGACUAUUUCACAAUCCAUGCUGGAGUUUUGCUGCGUUACAUUCCCUUAACAGCCAAGCGUAUGACCGGGAUCGUUUCACGUGGAGGAUCCAUUCAUGCUAAAUGGUGCCUAGCUUACCACAAGGAGAACUUUGCUUACGAGCACUGGGAUGAUAUUCUAGACAUCUGUAACCAGUAUGAUGUGGCUCUUUCCAUUGGAGAUGGUCUGAGACCUGGCUCGAUUUAUGAUGCUAACGACACUGCUCAGUUUGCGGAGCUCCUUACUCAAGGUGAACUAACUCGCCGAGCAUGGGAGAAAGAUGUGCAGGUGAUGAAUGAAGGACCAGGGCAUGUUCCAAUGCACAAGAUUCCAGAGAAUAUGCAGAAGCAGUUGGAAUGGUGUAACGAGGCACCAUUCUACACUCUUGGGCCUUUGACUACUGAUAUUGCCCCUGGAUAUGAUCACAUUACCUCUGCCAUUGGAGCUGCCAAUAUUGGAGCUUUAGGCACAGCUCUUCUUUGCUAUGUAACACCGAAAGAACACCUCGGGCUACCAAACAGGGACGAUGUGAAGGCCGGGGUUAUAGCAUACAAGAUCGCCGCUCAUGCAGCUGAUCUAGCCAAACAGCAUCCACAUGCCCAAGCAUGGGACGAUGCGCUGAGCAAAGCGCGGUUUGAGUUUAGAUGGAUGGACCAGUUUGCUCUGUCUUUGGACCCUAUGACUGCUAUGUCUUUCCAUGAUGAAACUCUUCCAGCUGAUGGAGCCAAGGUUGCACACUUUUGCUCCAUGUGUGGACCAAAAUUCUGCUCUAUGAAGAUAACAGAAGACAUCCGAAAGUAUGCAGAGGAGAAUGGUUAUGGCAGUGCUGAAGAAGCCAUCAGACAAGGAAUGGAUGCUAUGAGUGAAGAGUUCAACAUUGCCAAGAAAACCAUUAGCGGAGAACAGCACGGUGAAGUAGGCGGAGAAAUCUAUUUGCCAGAGAGCUAUGUCAAGGCUGCUCAGAAAUAAAAGGGAAAGGGUUUAAACAAGACCUCGCUUACCCAAGUCUUGGUGCCUGUUGGACUAUACCUAGAUAAAGGCACAAACUGUCGGUAAGGGGUGCUUGAACCAGGCUAGCCCGCGAAAAGGCGGGCUAUCCGGGACCAGGCUGAGAAAGUCCCUUUGAACCUGAACAGGGUAAUGCCUGCGCAGGGAGUGUGCAGUUUUUUUUUUCCUUUUCUGUAGCUUUCUAAAGGAGAAGAAGCUAUUGUUGCCGCUCUCUCGAGUCUCGGUCCACAGUUUCAGACAGUUUGUUUCUUAUGAGCUAAGAGAUUCAGCUUAAUUUACUUACAGCCAUAAAAGUAGUCUUAAACUGAUGCACUAGGUCACUAACAGUAAUGAAUAAUUCUAUCAAAAUUUCAUUCAGAUUGAUAAAAAAACUUUUGCACCU